rnacentral:misc_RNA from 1 species
GAUGAAGAACGCAGCGAAAUGCGAUAAGUAAUGUGAAUUGCAGAAUUCAGUGAAUCAUCGAAUCUUUGAACGCACAUUGCGCCCGCCAGUAUUCUGGCGGGCAUGCCUGUUCGAGCGUCAUUACAACCCUCAGGCCCCCGGGCCUGGCGUUGGGGAUCGGCGGAGCCCCCCGUGGGCACACGCCGUCCCCCAAAUGCAGUGGCGGUCCCGCCGCAGCUUCCAUCGCGUAGUAGCUAACACCUCGCGACUGGAGAGCGGCGCGGCCACGCCGUAAAACACCCAACUCUUCUGAAGUUGUCCUCGAAUCAGGUAGGAAUACCCGCUGAACUUAAGCAUAUCAAUAAGCGGAGGA